rnacentral:rRNA from 1 species
UGGGGAGUACGUUCGCAAGAAUGAAACUCAAAGGAAUUGACGGGGGCCCGCACAAGCGGUGGAGCAUGUGGCUUAAUUCGAUGCAACGCGAAGAACCUUACCCGGGCUAAAUCCACGGUGACCGGUCCCGAAACGGACCUUCCCUUCGGGGCACCAUGGAAGGUGCUGCAUGGCUGUCGUCAGCUCGUGCCGUGAGGUGUUGCCUUAAGUGGCGCAACGAGCGCAACCCCUGUGGUUAGUUACCAGCACGUAAUGGUGGGGACUCUAGCCAGACUGCCUACGCAAGUAGUGAGGAAGGUGGGGACGACGUCAAGUCAUCAUGGCCCUUAUGUCCGGGGCUGCACACGUGCUACAAUGGACGGUACAGCGGGAAGCCACCACGCAAGUGGGCGCAGAUCCCGAAAGCCGUUCCCAGUUCGGAUUGGAGUCUGCAACUCGACUCCAUGAAGGUGGAAUCGCUAGUAAUCGCGUAUCAGCAACGACGCGGUGAAUACGUUCCCGGGCCUUGCACACACCGCCCGUC